UCCCUGGUGGCUCAGAGGUAAAGCAUCUGCCUGCAAUGCGGGAGACCCGGGUUCAAUCCCUGGGUAGGGAA
rnacentral:tRNA from 1 species